rnacentral:rRNA from 1 species
UACGUAGGGCGCAAGCGUUGUUCGGAAUCACUGGGCGUAGAGGGCGCGUAGGCGGCCGAUCAAGUCGGGGGUGAAAGCCUGUGGCUCAACCACAGAAUGGCCUUCGAUACUGUUCGGCUCGAGACCGGAAGAGGUGAGUGGAACUGCGAGUGUAGAGGUGAAAUUCGUAGAUAUUCGCAAGAACACCAGUGGCGAAGGCGGCUCACUGGUCCGGUUCUGACGCUGAGGCGCGAAAGCGUGGGGAGCAAACAGG